rnacentral:misc_RNA from 1 species
GAAAAACUAAAGGCUUUGGGCUAAUUUUGGGGCUUAUUUGGAUAUAGUCCAAUGGUUGAAGGGCCUAUUGGUCUUCAAUCCUUUAUUUAUUUAUUUUUGUGUUCCAAUCGAUUGAUUGUCUUCCAAUUUAUUUUUGGAUGCUUGAAAGAUUCAUUCCUUGUGAGUUAUGGUUGUAAUGUCCACCAUUUAUAAAUUUGGAAGUGAA